UAACGAAUCUUCCGCAAUGCACGAAAGUGUGACGGAGCGACGCCGCGUGGAGGACGAAGUUCUUCGGAAUGUAAACUCCUGUCAGAGGAAAGAAAGUUCUGAUCUACCUCAGAGGAAGAGGCGGCUAACUCUGUGCCAGCAGCCGCGGUAAUACAGAGGCCUCGAGCGUUAGGCGGAAUCACUGGGCUUAAAGCGUGUGUAGGCGGACUUCUAAGUACCUUGUGAAAUCCCACGGCUUACCCGUGGAACUGCUUGGUAUACUGGUUGUCUUGAGCCACCUAGGGGCGAGUGGAACAAAUGGUGGAGCGGUGAAAUGCGUAGAUAUCAUUUGGAACGCCAAUGGUGAAAACAACUCGCUGGGGGUGUGCUGACGCUGAGACACGAAAGCCAGGGGAGCGAACGGGAUUAGAUACCCCCGUAGUCC
rnacentral:rRNA from 1 species